rnacentral:lncRNA from 1 species
CAUAAUCAUAAUUAUGAUCCCUCUGUGGGACCUCAACAAUGCCUCAAAGGGCAAAUACAUCAUGAGAUGAGUUGACUUCCAUAACAUUGUAAAACAUUUUGAUCAUGUAAUAAAAGGGAUACCUCAAUACAUAAUGUCAAGCACAAUAUCUAAUCCUCAAUAUCAAUACACAUAACAUAACUAUAACAUACUGAAAUCUCUUACAUUAAAUAAUAAUACAACUGUCAUGUCCACAACUAACAAUUACAUAUACACUUCAUAUCUCUGGCUAACCUCCUGGUCUACCCUGUACCUGCACAUCUGGGGUUAGGGGAGAGGGGUGAGCUACAAAGCCCAGUGAGCAGAAU